AUAUUAUACAUGUGAUAGAUCUAGAUUUAACAAAAACCCGGUCUGCUAGCUAUAAACUGGUGCUGUCCAAGAGAUAAAUAAUGGAGUGCCCAGCACUGUGCACACAGGAGAAAAAAGAAAAAUGUAGAAAGCUGCAACUUCAGUGAGAAAAGAAAAUAAUUAAACAAAGAUAUAUAUAAAUGAGUUAAAAUACAGACAGUAAUUCACUUUAGUAGGAUUUAAUCAGUGACAAAGAAAAAUAGGUACAUAGAUUUAUAAAAGACUGGAAUAUUUGACAUGUUGAAGUGAUGAAAUAUGCAGUUAUAUUCUUCUGAAAAAUUGCAAACUUUAAAUGAAUGUUAGAUUUCUUUUUGUUAAAUGUUGAUAAAAUCACAACUAUUUGAAAAUAAUAUACGCACUAAAAGUGUUA
rnacentral:lncRNA from 1 species